CACUCACCUCUGUACCUGCCACCCAGGUGAGACACACGGGGGGAGAACACUCAGAGUCCUCAGAGUGAAUGUGACUUACUCUGUGGACACGGCGGCCUCUUCAUCCUCCUCGGGCCUCCGGGUGACAGCGGCCGGGGACAGGGUUGCUUUUUUUGUGCGCGUGCAUCACUUCUGUUACCCGCACAGCCAGAAACUUUGCCUGGGAAUUUCUGUGGGCAAAAAUUUCAGUCAUUGUUUCUGGUCGUGUGUGUAAUGUGCAUCCAAGAACAAGCGGUGGAGUUGUGGAUGGAGGGUUUCAUUCUGCUGGAGACUCAUGAAGAGGCCGAGGGGCGUCUUCAGACUUAAAUGAGUCUGAAGUGGACGAGAGGCCAAACACUCCCUGUAUCAUCUCUGCAGAACCUGACAUCUGUUAAACGAGCAGUGGGAAUUACAAGCUGCCAGUCCGCUGUUGGCAGGAUUUAUGUCUAAUCGCUCUUUUAAUAGCCUGCAUCAGGUAUCUACGCUCGUAUCGGGAGGCCGUUCUUGGCGAUUGAAAGUAGAACAUGUGUCCCAUCUGAUUUUGAAGGUGUUACUCUCCCAGUAAGCAGCAGGAGCAGUAGCCACUUUUCUGGUUAUGGAGGUGCAGCUUCCAGUAAUUUGGUUGUGACAUAUCCCAGUGAGGGCAUGGCAGUGAUGUUACCACAUGCAGCCGGAGCAUCAGUAUGUCAGGUAUGUUGGUGAACCAGCUCCACGCAGCCAAAGAUGGGUGUAACUCGGUACUUAUCUGGAGAGUGGAAUGAUUUAUUAAAAAGUGCGGACAAUAAAAAGGCUCCCUGCCUCUGACAGUGAACUGAUGGUACACGGAAACUCCCAAAAUAAAUGAGCACGUGAUUCAUUUUGAGAAGGAGGCCAAGAUAAAGACAAUCAAUCCACACAAGGGGAAAGUAUUUGAUGUGUAUUGUUGUAUAUGUGUAUUGUUUCACUGAUUAUAUGAUUGUGUAUCUGCUCCUACAGAAAUAAACCUGACACUCUA